rnacentral:rRNA from 1 species
GACAGAGGGUGCAAACGUUGUUCGGAAUUACUGGGCGUAAAGGGCGCGUAGGCGGCCGCCUAAGUCAGACGUGAAAUCCCUCGGCUCAACCGGGGAACUGCGUCUGAUACUGGGUGGCUUGAAUCCGGGAGAGGGAUGCGGAAUUCCAGGUGUAGCGGUGAAAUGCGUAGAUAUCUGGAGGAAUACCGGUGGCGAAGGCGGCAUCCUGGACCGGCAUUGACGCUGAGUGAGCGAAAGCCAGGGGAGCAAACGGG